rnacentral:lncRNA from 1 species
UUUUUUUUAGAGAGAGAGAGAGAGAAUUUUAAUAUUUAUUUUUUAGUUUUCGGCGGACACAACAUCUUUGUUUGUAUGUGGUACUGAGGAUCGAACCCGGGCUGCACGCAUGCCAGGCGAGCGUGCUACCACUUGAGCCACUUCCCCAGCCCAUCAGCUGCUGUUUUCUAACAUCAUCUCAUCAUGUUUAGAGAAGAUACUUUAGUUAUCUAUCUUAUUAAAAAAUAAAUAAACUAGACAUGUUUUAUAGUCUAAUGUAUGGUCUAUCCUGGUGAAUGUCCCACAUGCACUUGAGAAGAAUGUGUAUCCUAUUAUUGGAUGGGAUGAUCUAUGUCUGUUAGGUCUAGUUGGUUUUAAGAUGUUCAAGUUCUCUACUUACUAAUCUGGUUUUUAUUCUAGCACUUAUGGAUUAUAGGGUAUUGUAGUCUCCAACUAUUAUUGUAGAACUGUUUUACUACUUUUAAUUGUAUCAAGUUUUUGCAUCAUAUAUUUUGAAAGUCUGUUACUAGAUAAGUACAUUUUUAUAUAAUCUUACUAUAUUGAAAUGUUUAUUAAUAUAUGUUAUUCUAUCUUUUUAACCUUUUUAAAUUAAGGUCUAUUUUGUCUAAAUUUAGUAUAACCACCCCAGUUCUCUUAUUUACUAUCUACAUGGAACAUCUUAUUUUAUUAAUUUCAGCCUUUUUCAACCUAAUUGUGUCUUAAGGUCUAAAUGAGUUUGUAGACAGCAUGUAGUUGGACCAUGGUUAUUUGUUGUUGUUGCUAUUUAUUUUAUUUACCAAAGAUUGAACCUAAGGAUGCUUAACCACUGAGCAACAUCCCCAGGCCUUUUUAUUUUUUCAGACAGGAUCUCGCUAGUUUGCUUAGGGCCUCACUAAGUUCCUGAGCUGGCUUUGAAUUUGCAAUCCUCCAACCUCACUCUCUCAAGUUGC